rnacentral:rRNA from 1 species
UAGGGAAUAUUGGACAAUGGAGGCAACUCUGAUCCAGCCAUCCCGCGUGCAGGAAGAAGGCCCUACGGGUCGUAAACUGCUUUUAUUGGGGAAGAAAAUCCCGCUCGUGAGCGGGGCUGACGGUACCCAAGGAAUAAGCACCGGCUAACUCCGUGCCAGCAGCCGCGGUAAUACGGAGGGUGCAAGCGUUAUCCGGAUUCACUGGGUUUAAAGGGUGCGUAGGCGGCUUGCCAAGUCAGUGGUGAAAGCCCGCGGCUUAACCGUGGAAUUGCCAUUGAAACUGGCUGGCUCGAGUAUGAUUGAAGUGGAUGGAAUACAUCAUGUAGCGGUGAAAUGCUUAGAUAUGAUGUAGAACACCAAUUGCGAAGGCAGUUCACUAAGUCAUAACUGACGCUGAGGCACGAAAGCGUGGGGAUCAAACAGGAUUAGAUACCCCCGUAGUCC